rnacentral:rRNA from 1 species
UGGGGAAUCUUAGACAAUGGGCGCAAGCCUGAUCUAGCCAUGCCGCGUGAGUGAAGAAGGCCCUAGGGUCGUAAAGCUCUUUCGCCUGUGAAGAUAAUGACGGUAGCAGGUAAAGAAACCCCGGCUAACUCCGUGCCAGCAGCCGCGGUAAUACGGAGGGGGUUAGCGUUGUUCGGAAUUACUGGGCGUAAAGCGCGCGUAGGCGGGCUGGAAAGUUGGGGGUGAAAUCCCGGGGCUCAACCCCGGAACUGCCUCCAAAACUCCCAGCCUAGAGGUCGAGAGAGGUGAGUGGAAUUCCGAGUGUAGAGGUGAAAUUCGUAGAUAUUCGGAGGAACACCAGUGGCGAAGGCGGCUCACUGGCUCGAUACUGACGCUGAGGUGCGAAAGUGUGGGGAGCAAACAGG